AACGAACGCUGGCGGCAGGCCUAACACAUGCAAGUCGAGCGAGGACUUCGGUCCUAGCGGCGGACGGGUGAGUAACGCGUGGGAACGUGCCCUUUGCUUCGGAAUAGCCCUGGGAAACUGGGAGUAAUACCGGAUGAGCCCUUUGGGGGAAAGAUUUAUCGGCGAAGGAUCGGCCCGCGUUGGAUUAGGUAGUUGGUGGGGUAAUGGCCUACCAAGCCGACGAUCCAUAGCUGGUUUGAGAGGAUGAUCAGCCACACUGGGACUGAGACACGGCCCAGACUCCUACGGGAUGCAGCAGUGGGGAAUCUUAGAAAAUGGGGGAAACUCUGAUCUAGCCAUGGCGCGUGAGCGAUGAAGGCCUUAGGGUUGUAAAGCUCUUUCAGCUGGGAAGAUAAUGACGGUACCAGCAGAAGAAGCCCCGGCGAACUCCGUG
rnacentral:rRNA from 1 species